CCUGUGAGUUUCAGACUGCAGGACUGAGAUCUGUCCUUCAACACAACAGAAACCACGACAACCAUGACUCUGAUCACCAUCUUCAUCUGGACACUGGUCUGCUGCUGCCUCAAAGGAUCCAGAGGUCAGGUGACUGUGACUCAGCCUCCUGUAGUGACAUUUUCUCCGGGAGACCCCGUCACUCUGACCUGUACAACCAACCCUAAAGUGUACAAAUGGAGUAAUGGAAAUGAGUGUGCACUCUGGUAUCAACAGAGACCUGGAGAAGCUCCUAAACUCUUGAUAGAAUACGUAAAGACACGGCUAGAUGGGAUUCCUGCCAGAUUCAGUGGCAGUGGGUCUGAGAGUGACUUCACUCUGACCAUCAGUGGAGUCCAGGCUGAAGAUGCAGCAGUUUACUACUGUCAGAGUGACCACAGUGGUAAUGUGAUCACACAGUGAUUUAGAGACAUACAAAAACCUCCUGCACAAAAUGACACACAUCACUGGUCCUCUGAACACAGAACUAAUGGUCUUGUUAUAUGACAUCACCAAGUAUAACCACUUUACUAACUCACGGAAAUAAUGGUUACAAACUACUGUAGUUUCUUACAGUUUUUUUCAAUCACUUUGGCACUAAUUUCAGAACCUUGUGGUCAUUUUCCAGAACUCCAGACACAAAACUCAAAACGGUCAUCACUUGUAACACAGGCUGUCCAAUGUUCAAAACAUUGCAUUGUGCAUUCAUAUCUUUAAAGAAACCUUGCACUUGCAGAAUCAUUGGUUCAAAUAACUCAUUUAUCAUGAAAUACCAUAGGACCAUUCAUUUAGA